rnacentral:misc_RNA from 1 species
GUACUAACAGAAAAUUUUCUUCUCUGGGAGGCACGCUUUCAGUCUCAAUUCUCAAGCUCAAUUUUUGUGAAUUAAGGGAGGAAAAAGUGAACUGUUUCGUUAAACCCAGACCCAAUUUUCUUGAAUUUUGAUCUAAUGGCUUCCCGCAGGCGCAUGCUCUUAAAGGUCAUAAUUCUCGGUGAUAGUGGGGUUGGGAAGACCUCGUUGAUG